CCUACGGGAGGCAGCAGUGAGGAAUAUUGGGCAAUGGACGAGAGCCUGAACCAGCCAAGCAGCGUGAAGGAUGACUGCCCUAUGGGUUGUAAACUUCUUUUAUAUGGGAAUAAAACAGGGUAUGCAUACCCUCUUGUAUGUACCAUAUGAAUAAGGAUCGGCUAACUCCGUGCCAGCAGCCGCGGUAAUACGGAGGAUCCGAGCGUUAUCCGGAUUUAUUGGGUUUAAAGGGAGCGUAGGUGGUUUGUUAAGUCAGUUGUGAAAGGUUGCGGCUCAACCGUAAAAUUGCAGUUGAAACUGGCAGUCUUGAGUACAGUAGAGGUGGGCGGAAUUCGUGGUGUAGCGGUGAAAUGCUUAGAUAUCACGAAGAACUCCGAUUGCGAAGGCAGCUCACUGGACUGCAACUGACACUGAUGCUCGAAAGUGUGGGUAUCAAACAGGAUUAGAUACCCGAGUAGUC
rnacentral:rRNA from 1 species